CACUCAGUAAGGAAAAAAACAAAAUUCUAACACCUCUCUCCAUUGUCCCUGCUCCACUACUAACAACCUCUCCACUCUCAUUCCACUCUCUCACAAAACCCACUCUCAGAUUCUCUCUCUGCUCUCACCUACAAAAUCCACACUCACCGCUACUCUCCCUCUCACACAAAAACCCUUCCUAAAAAUGAAAAAGAAAAGAAAAACUGAAAUCCUUUUCACUCUCUCGAUCCCAAAAACCCUUUCUCUUCCAUCAAAAUCGUCUCUCAAAAUCGCCACCAACACACUCAAAUCCUCUCCUCUUCGGUCUCACUCUCAAAUCCACAAAACCCAAGCCGCUUCCUCAUCGUCACCUCAAAUCCGCGAGCUCGCACGCCAUUAACCCUUCAUCAACCAAACCCCCCAAAUCCGUCUUCGACCACCUUCAAAUCGCGUCCCUCAAACCCUCGAACGCUACCUUCAUUCAACCCACCAGCUGAAACCCAAUCGCGAGCUCCACCGCCACGAGCUCAAGCUCGCCGCCGCCACCAACUGAAACCCCUUCUUCCAUCCGUCUUCAACCUCAUCACCACUGUCAAACCUCCACCUCUUCAGUAACCCACGCCGUUAACCCACAACCUCACCACUACGGCGAAGACCCCGUGACCCACCUCUCAACUAUUCCUGUAGCUUUUUUUAAUUUUUGUUUAAAUUGAUUUGCUGAAAAUGUGUUGCUUCUGGAAUUAUUGGAUGUUUACAGGGAAAGUUUGAAGUCCAUCAUUGAGAGCUUUAGAGCCGUGGGUAUGUUAGGUGAAUGAUCGAUUUCAAGUGAUUUCUGCUGUUACCCUGUGAUUCUGCUACGAACCACUCACUUCUUCCGCCGCCGCUUCAACCGUCGAGGAGCCGAAUCGCCCCAACAACACCGAGCAAAUCGCUUCAUACCAUUUUCACGAUUUCAGUUUGUUGUAUUGUUGCUGCUUAAAUUUCUCACCACUUGCAUAUGGUCCUAAACCUUAGUUGUGUUAACACUUUGAAAUCAACGUUUGAGUACUUUAAAACUUUGGCAAAUUGAAUAGAAUAUUGAAUAGAAUAUGUUUAACUGA